rnacentral:rRNA from 1 species
CUAGCCGCGGUAAUACGUAGGGUGCGAGCGUUAAUCGGAAUUACUGGGCGUAUAGGGCGUGUAGGCGGCCUGGGGCGUCCCAUGUGAAAGGCCACGGCUCAACCGUGGAGGAGCGUGGGAUACGCUCAGGCUAGAGGGUGGGAGAGGGUGGUGGAAUUCCCGGAGUAGCGGUGAAAUGCGCAGAUACCGGGAGGAACGCCGAUGGCGAAGGCAGCCACCUGGUCCACUUCUGACGCUGAGGCGCGAAAGCGUGGGGAGCAAACCGGAUUAGAUACCCGCGUAGUCCCUGUCUCUUAUACAC